UAUUGUGAAAUUUUGUAAAGGCAGG
rnacentral:piRNA from 1 species